GGUGCUAUAGCUCAGUUGGUAGAGCAUCGGACUGAAAAUCCGUGAGUCGGUGGUUCGAGUCCACUUAGCACCA
rnacentral:tRNA from 1 species